UGGAAGUUUUGCAAAGAUAUGAUGCUGGCCCUGGUGAUACCUUGAUUAUUCAUUGCUUACAUCUGGAACUGGCGGAUUUUUGACUUUAAUUCAUCUUUUCUUUUCCUUUGUUACGUUGGGUUUUGAGGAAAGAGAAUGGUUGAGGAGUGUGAUUCCUCGUCUAUUUAAUCAUUUUUGUAACAUUCAUUGCGGCGUCCUGGCACUGGUGAUUCUAAAGUUCUGAAAUCUAGUUCCCAGGUGAAUUGACCUCUUUACUGUUAACAUGAAGAACUUUCAUUAUGGAUUAGCCUGAGAAGAUUGAUUGGCCG
rnacentral:misc_RNA from 1 species